rnacentral:lncRNA from 1 species
GCGUCGGGUUUAAAAAUUGGAGCUAGACCUCAUAAUUCCUUUGACUUUCCCACUAACGAUAGGUUAGGAUGUAGUACAUAUAAUUUACUUUCAAAAUAAACAAUGUCAAAAUCAAUCAAAAGUUUAAAAGAAAGAUUGAAUAAUGACUUUUUAAGAAAAUUAUGUUACAAGGUUUUGAUAUGAAAUAUUUUUAAAGCCAAGUUAAAUGCAUGAAAUGAUUCUAAAAAAAUAUUGCAUCAUGAAUGCGGAAAACAAAUGGGAUUACUAGUUAAAUAAUAUUAACUAAUUUUAGGGGAGGGCUCAAAUAUGCACAAACAAAUUUUAUUUUUUAUGGACAUGCUGAGAGUUUAUUUACAACCCUAUAGACAUGAUUUCUAGGUGUUAAAAAAACAGAGUAACAUAUAUAUGCAUGAUUUUGUAAAUGAUGUGAACAAUUUAAUACUUAGGCAUAGUUCUACGUGAUAAGACAAAUGAAAAUUUAUAACAUAUUUUAACAUCUAACAACCUAUUAUAUUAUUAGGACUUGAUUUUAAUAUUUAAAAAAAAUUAAUGGAAUCUAGUUAUUAUUUUUUUAGAGUUAUUAACGAAAGCGUCAAGCAAAUUGAAAAUUGAUUAGAUUAUAACACCUACAAAUAUUAAAUCUAGGCGAUUAAAGACAAACCUAUAGGCAUGAUUUCUAAAAAUUUAUAAUGAACAACUAGGCAUAUAAAUCCCCCUCCCUUAGACGACCCCCCAAAUAAAUUUAUAUAUAUGAUCUUUUAGGGUUACAAUUGUUAAAACAUUUGAAUAAACAAAAAUAGACAAAAAAAAAUGAAAUAUAUAUAUAUAUAUAUAUAUAUAUAUAUAUAUACACACACACACACAUUCAAAUAAACAAAUAAAUCUUUCUUCAAUCAAUCUUCAACUUGAACUUCAAGUUUGAAACCUAUCAAAGUAAUCAAAUAACUACACAAGUAAUCACACUUAUUAGUCGAGAUGAGACGAUAUGCAAUUAUUUAAUGAAGAAUUCUACAUAAAAAAAAAAACAAUAGCUUACACAAAUAUGUGAAUGUGAAGAUAAUGUAGAUGUUAGGAAUACUAACCAGUUAAGCAAAACAAAUUGAUUCACCUUUUACUCGAACGAUGUAGCAAAAUAGCGAAGAACACUUGAAUAUUUAUCGGAAUAUUAAUGUGUUUUUAAAGUAGCAAGAGAGCAAUAAGAGAAGAGAGAGUGAUGAGAGAAAUUUUUUUUGAUUGAGAGUGAAUGGGGUCGACCGGUGGCUUGCUGCUUCGACGUCUUUGUCGUAUGCCGAUGGAGAGAAGAGAGACGAGAAACAACGGCUAGAGAGAGAGGAGGGGAAGAGGAGAGAAAGAGGGAGAAGGGGGACGACGGGAGACGGGAGAAAGACGGAGGGGAGGAGCGACGGGAAAAGGGGAGAGGGGCAGCUGCCGGAGAAGCCAUCACUGCUAGGAGAAAAGAGAAGAAGAGGGGAUGGGACGAGGGAGAAGAAGGGGCGUUGCCGCCUUUGGUGGCUUUAACCGGAAGAUGGCGAGGAGAGAGGGGGCCGGCGCUGGAGAGAGAGAGAAGGGAGAGCGCGGCUGGAGAGAGGAAAAAAGGGGAAGAAUGGGAACAAAUUUUAGGUUUUGUUAUUUGAUAGAUUAAAAGGAGGAUUUGAUCUCAACCGUUGAUCUAAUUUGAAAUGAAGGGCAAAGAUUAGGUCUAGGAAUUAUUUGAGAUGGAUGGAUGAGAUUAAAAGUUGAAAAAUUAAAAUCAAAUUGGUUGGAGGAUUGGAACGGCUAAAAUUGCAACUAAAAUUGGCUAGAAUUUAAAGGAUGAGGUGGCUAUGAUUGUAAUAAAAUUUUAAUUGGAGUGGCUAGAAUUGAAAGAAAUUGGAAUAGAAUAGGCUAGAAUUUAAAUAAUUUUAAGGAAAGUGUAGGAAUUACUAUUUGAUUAAAAUACUACAUAUAUUAAAAUAUUUUUAUAAUUGAAAAUCAUUUAAACUUUAAAAAUUUGGAAUUCAUUAAUAAUUUGAAAAUAUUUUAAUAAUAUUUACGAUAAUUUUAUAAAGUAAAACGUACUAAAAUAUAUAAUUUUCAAGCAAAGUCGAUUAAAAAUUCUAAAAUUAAAAAUACAUAUUUAAUCUAAUAGUAUUCCUAAAAAGGGUCAAAGGUCGGUCAAAAUAGGGUGUCAACAGCUGCUCCUUGGUUGAUUGAGAAUGAAGAAUGAAUUGUCAGGCAACCAACGUUGACUUAGUAGCCGAUUUUGUCCGACCGACUAAAGAUGUCAGUUGGAUCAAUUGAAAUGAUAUAGAGUUGAAAAAGGGUACGACCGAGACUUUGGUUUUUAAGUCGCCUACAUAUCUCUGGUUAUACGAGAAUCAGGUCGUGUGUAGUUCUAGAUUCAAAAGCAAAUGAAGCUCUUAAAAGUUGAAAGAGCGCUAAGGUGUUUGAAAGGUACUAUAUUGGCUUGAAUGGAUAAGAUUAGAGUAGCGAGAAGAGAGAGAUUGAGAGGCUAAAAAAGUAUGACAGAGAAGCGAGAAGAACAUGAUAGAGUAAGGCUAUCAGCCUUUGAGCGAGGGUUCGGAGUAUGAAAAGCGAAGAAUUGAUACGGUCAUUGUUGUCAUAGAGGAUAGCGUGAUAAUUGUAAUCAAGGGCGAUCAAUCAUAUCUGCAAAUUCUAGAUAAAAUGUUAGCUUAUGAAUAAUGUAUGACCAAUAAUGAUAAAAUAUGAGUUCUAAAUAAAUGACAAAAGAUGAUAAGAAGCGUAUCUGUUUGAGACAUAGUGCAAGCCUUGAUAGUCUUUAACUUCUUGAAGGAUUGAAACCCAUCUCUAAGGAUAAACGUCAAACUCCAAUAGAUUGGAUACUGUAAAGAUAUAAUAAUAUAGACGAAAAUAUCUAGUUAUAAGGAGAGUCUAAACGUCAUUUUAAGGCGGACGAGCCUAAGUGUCGUUUUAAGGAGGGCAGCCUAAAUAUCUUAUAAAGCGAACAAAAUAUCUUAUAAAGCGGACGAACAUAAAUGUCCUAUGAGGCGGACAAGCCUAAAUGUCCCUUUAAGGUGGACGGCCUAAAUGUCCUAUAAGAUGGACAAACCUAAAUGGCAUUUUAAGACGGACGAGACUAAAUGUCCUAUUGUAAGGCGGACGAGCCUAGAUGUCGUAUUGUAAGGCGGACGAGCCUAUAUGUCACAUUGUAAGGCGGACGAGCCUAGAUGUCGCAUUGUAAGGCGGACGAGCCUAGCUGAAGACAUAGAAAGCCACAGUGGCCAGUUGAAUCCGAAGAUAUCUUCAUGGUAGCCUGAAUGAUAGAUGAGUAGUGAAACGAUAGUGCGAGUAGCCAAGAAUUUGUCGGAGCCUUUGUUUGUAAGCGAGGAAAUAGCCGUUCAGAAAGCAUCUUUGUCUGUAAUCAACAUAACUGUAACUUGUAGUAGAGUAAUUAGAGCAGAAAAAGCGGUAAAUGUAAACAUGAUGCAAUUUCCCAUAUUAACCAUGAAUGCUUGCCUUGACCAUGCAAAAUGACGUCUUAGGCUAUGAUGUCUAGGGCCAUGAUAUGCAGGGUGUAUCCUCAGGUCAUGAAAAUGUUGUUUGUAGUCCAUGAAAAUGACGCCUUUAGACUAUGACACCUUCGGAUUAUGAUAGAUAGAAAUUAAACCCUUAGGCCAUGAUAUGAUGUCCGCAGGCCAUGAGGAUGAUGCCUUUAGACUAUGAUACCUUAGGGACAUGGUAAGCAUAAAAUAAGUCCUCAGGCCAUGACAUGAAGUCCGCAGGCCAUGAAAGAUGACGCCUUUGGAGGAUGACGCCUUUGGAAUAUAAAUAAUGAGUAAAGAGAGCGUAUCUAUUUUUGACAUCUGUUGAUACUUAUGACUUGAUUUGAUUCGGGCACAUGUAAACUUCGAGCACGAUGCAAUCAUGAGGUUAUGCAAACUUCGGGCACAAUGCAGUCUCGGGCACAAUGCGAUGAUGCAUUUCUUCGGGCACAUGCAAUAUCGAGCACAUGCAAUGAUGUAUUUCUUCGGGCACAUGCAAUAUCUAGCACAAUGCAAUGAUGCACUUCUUCGGGAAUAAUGUAAUAUCGGGCACAUGCAGUAUCGAGCAUAUGUAAUAGUGCAUUUCUUCGGGCACAUAAAAUAUCGAGCGCAUGCAAUAAUGCAAUUCCUCGAGCAUAAGUCAAUAUUGGGCACAUGCAGUAUCAAGCAUAUGUAAUGGUGCAUUUCUUCGGGCACAUAAAAUAUCGAGCGCAUGCAAUAAUGCAAUUCCUCGAGCAUAAGUCAAUAUUGGGCAUAUGCGAUGAUGUAUUUCCUCGGGCACAUGAAAUAUCGAGCACAUGCGAUGAUGAAUUUCUUCGGGCACAUAAAAUAUCGAGCGCAUGCAAUAAUGCAAUUCUUCGAGCAUAAGUCAAUAUUGGGCAUAUGCGAUGAUGUAUUUCCUCGGGCACAUGAAAUAUCGAGCACAUGCAAUGAUGCAUUUCGGCAUUCUCGGGCAUAAUAUAAUGAUGUAGUUCUAUGAGCAUAGUGUGAUAUCAGGCGUAGGUGCAAAAUGAUGCAAUAUCGGGCACAAUGUAAUUUGUCAGCACAGCAGUUGCUUGAGAGCAUACAAUAGCUUGGCGUUCGCCUUAUUGGAAUGAUCGAGUGUCAUAUGUCGGGAUCAAAUGUGGUGAUGUUGAUUGUUGCGAUUGCCUUUGUAUACGUACCUGUAUUUUCUACAUUCAAAGAAAAAUAGUUAGUUUUAAAGGGGGGAGGUUGAUCUGUAUCCAUGAUUUAGCGAUGCGUGCUCCUUUGGCUUGCCAUCCACACCUCUUCGAGCGUCUGUUUUUUUUCAUAAAAAAAGGGAAAGGAAAGAGAAAAAAUAAUAAUAAUAAAAUAAAAAAUAAAAAAUUUUGAAAGAUUUUGAAAUUAUCAUUUAAUAAAAGCUAAUGUCAAAUCUUUGACCAUGGCAUAGGUUGAAACUUUAUAACGUCUGACUCAAGAAUGGAGCUAUCAUUUAAUCUUCGUUGUAAGUUGACUGCUUGUUGAGAAGAAACUUUUGGUGAAAUUUUGAGUUUACUCAAAAUUUCUGCCCCAGUAUGAAGAUGUGCCAGGAGAAAUCUUGAUGGAAUUUUUGAGAUCCUCUCAAAAAUUAUGCCCCAGUUAACAAUAGAAAAGGGGGAAAUGAAAGUUUUAUUUAUAAUAAGAGCGAACCCCAUAGGAGCACCUACGUAUCCCCUCUUAAACGGGAAUCAGGUCUGACGUAGUUCCAAGCAUGAAUAAAUCUCUAGAUGUAAUACUUUUUCACAGAAUCUGAAUUGAUAGGUUUUGGCCAAUCUUCUCCAUCCAUUUCUGCAAGUAUGAGGGCUCCGCCUGUCAGUACUCGAGAGACUAUGUACGAACCUUGCCAAUUUGGUGAAAAUUUACCCUUUGCCUCGUCUUGAUUUGGAAAAAUCCGCUUCAAAACCAGUUGCCCAGGUGAGAAAUGUCUGGGUUUAACCUUCUUGUUGAAAUCUCUUGCCAUUCUAUUCUGAUAGAGCUGACCAUGUCAAAUGGCGUUAAUUCAUCUUCCAUCUAUUAAUGCCAAAUUCUCUGCCCGACCUUGUAUCCAAUCAGCAUCACUCAACUUUGCUUCUUGGAUGAUCCUUAGGGAAGGUAUCUCAACUUCGGCGGGUAUCACAGCUUCAGUGCCGUAUACUAAGAAGUAAGGUGUGGCCCCUGUGGAAGUUCUGAUUGUGGUACGAUACCCCAGCAAUGCGAAAGGUAGCUUUUCCUGCCAGUGUUUGUGAUUAUCGAUCAUCUUGCGCAAUAUCCUUUUGAUGUUUUUGUUUGCCGCCUCAACAACCCCAUUCAUCUGUGGCCUAUAUGCUGUAGAGUUUCGAUGACUGAUCUUGAACUUCUCACACAUUAAUCUCAUCAGGUCACUAUUUAGGUUGGUGCCGUUGUCGGUGAUGAUUGACUCAGGAAUUCCAAACCUACAAAUAAUGUUGUUUUUGACAAAGUCAUCCACAACUUUCUUUGUCACUGAUUUAUGGGAGGUGGCCUCAACCCACUUGGUGAAAUAGUCAAUUGCGACAAGAAUGAAUCUGUGCCCGUUGGAUGCUGUUGGCUCGAUUGGACCAAUGACAUCCAUACCCCAUGCUGCGAACGGCCAAGGUGAACUAGUGACAUGGAGUUCGUUGGGAGGUACUCGAAUCAUAUCUGCAUGAGUCUGACAUUGAUGGCAUUUCUGGACGUAGCGAAUGCAGUCUGUCUCCAUAGUUAGCCAAUAAUAUCCUGAUUUCAGAAUCUUCUUUGCUAAUGUAAAACCAUUCAUGUGAGGGCCACAGGUGCCUGCAUGUAUCUCUUCGACCAGCCUGCGAGCCUCUCUUGCUUCGACGCAUCUUAGCAGUCCCAAAUCGGGAGUUCUCCUAUAGAGGAUUUCCCCACUUAAGAAGAAUUGGGUUGUUAACCUUCGAAUUGUACGCUUUUGUAGACUUGUUGCAUCUUUUGUGUAUUCACCACUCUUCAAAUAUCUUCUAAUGUCAUCGUACUAGGGCUUUCCAUCAGGCUCUUCCUCAACAUGGAAACAAUAAGCUGGUUGUUCAUGUAUACAAAUGUGAAUAGGAUCGAUGUAAUUGUGAUCACGGUUUCGAAUCAUAGAAGACAGAGUGGCUAAGGCAUCUGCAAAUUCAUUUUGGACCCUUGGUACAUGUCUAAAUUCUGUUUUGACAAACCUUUUACAUAGCCUGUGCACGCACUCCAAAUAUGGUAACAACUUUCGAUUUUUUGUUGCCCAAUCACCUCGAAUCUGAUGGAUCAAUAGGUCUGAAUCCCCUAUUAUUAGCAUUUCCUGGACAUCCAAGUCGAUCGCCCGUCGGAGACCUAGUAUGCAGGCUUCGUAUUCGGCCAUAUUAUUUGAGCAAAGGAAUCUGAGUUUUGCUGAUACUGGAUAAUGUUGCCCGGUGGGUGAGAUCAAAACAGCCCCGAUGCCGCAUCCAUUCAGAUUUUUAGCUCCAUCAAAGAACAUUCUCCAUCCAUCAUAUUCUUCAGAAAUGUCCUCUCCCACAAAAGCCACCUCUUCAUCUGGGAAGUAGGUCUUCAGCGGUCUGUAAUCAUUGUCCACGGGAUUCUCUGCCAUAUGGUCUGCUAAUGCCUGUGCUUUCACUGCUUUUUGCGUGACAUACACUAUGUCAAACUCGCUCAACAGUAUCUGCCAUUUUGCCAGUUUACCUGUGGGCAUAGGCUUUUGAAAGAUAUACUUCAAAGGAUCCAUCCUUGAAAUCAGAUAAGUAGUAUGCGAUGAGAGGUAAUGUCGUAACUUUUGGGCAACCCAUGUUAGAGCACAACAGGUACGCUCUAAUAGAGAGUAUCGGGCUUCGCACGAUGUGAACUUCUUGCUCAUAUAGUAAUUUCUUGCUCCUUCCUCCCUGUUUCAUCGUGUUGUCCCAAGAUGCAACUGAAAGCAUUAUCCAAUACUGAAAUAUACAAAAGUAAUGGUCUACCUGACUCUGGUGGCACCAAUACAGGAGGAUUGGAUAGAUAGUCUUUGAUCUUGUCAAAUGCCUGUUGACAUUCACUUGUCCAUUUCACUGCAGCAUCCUUUUUUAACAGCUUGAAGAUAGGUUCACAGAUGACAGUAGACUGAGCAAUGAAACGACUGAUGUAGUUAAGUCACCCUAAGAAACUCAUUACCUCCUUCUUGCUCUUUGGUGGGGGAAGAUCAUGAAUGGCUUUGAUCUUUGACGGAUCCAAUUCUAUACCUCGACGACUGACAAUGAAACCUAAAAGCUUUCCAGCGGGCACACCAAAGACACAUUUUGCCGGAUUCAGUUUCAGAUUGUACUUGCGUAGCCUGGCAAAGAAUUUCCGUAAAUCCUCCAAAUGAUUUAAACAUUCCUUUGAUUUGAUGAUGACAUCAUCCACAUAAACUUCAAUUUCCUUAUGGAUCAUGUCAUGAAACAGAGUAGUCAUCGCUCUCAUGUACGUAGCCCUAACGUUCUUUAAUCCAAAAGGCAUCACUUUGUCGUUAUAGACGCCCCACGGCGUGAUGAAGGCGGUUUUCUCAGCGUCGUCUUUGUGCAUCUCAAUUUGAUGAUAGCCGGCAAAGCAAUCUACUAAUGAUUGAGUUUCAUGCUUAGCACAAUUGUCAAUCAGUAUGUGUAUGUUUGGUAAUGGAAAGUUAUCUUUAGGGCUAGCUUUAUUGAGAUCUCGGUAAUCCACGCAAACUCUGACCUUGCCGUCUUUCUUGGGCACUGGAACGACAUUUGCAAGCCAAGUUGGGUAUUCUGUCACUUGGAGUAUCCCAGCAUCUAAUUGCUUUGAUACUUCUUCUUUGAUUUUCAAACUCAUCUCGGGCUUGUAUUUUCUCAGCUUCUGUUUUACCGGAGGACAUGCUGGAUCAGUGGGCAGUCGAUGGGCUACGAUUGAAGUACUUAGCCCUGUCAUGUCUGCGUAGGACCACGCAAAAAUAUCCUUAUUCUCUAUGAGAAACUCGGUGUACUCUUUCUUGUCUUCUUUUGUCAUAUGGAUGCUUACUCGGGUUUCUUGUAUCACCUCUACAUUUCCCAAAUUCACCACUUCUGUCUCUACCAAAUUUGGAUUAGGUUUUUCCUCAAAUUCCUCAACCCUUUUGAUUAACUCCUCGGGAACCUCAUUGUCUUUGACUUCUUCUAAGUCAUUAAUGUUAAGUUGAGCAGUCUCAUUGUAUGCCACAGUCUCAGAUUUGACAUUUUUAUAAUGAAUUUUGCUGGCGAGAAGAAAAAAAAUAGCAAAAAAUUAAAUACAAGACAAAAAAAUGGGGAAAAGAACUUUAUUGAUAAAGAUUUGAAAAUUUCAUAAGUCCUCAUUCGAAAGCAAUACAGGGGACGGGAAUUAAAACGUUUAUUAAAAACUCUUUUAUUUGAAUUAAAACUUGAUAGAAAAACAUCUUCCAAGGCUACCCAGAUGCUCGACGAGGUCUGGAUGGAGUCGAGGUCAAGUUGCUGACGCUGAUCUUUGCCUCCUUGCUUCCACUAGGGCCCCCUUUCUCCUCCUCGUUGAUCACGACGUUGCAAACUUUCCCCUCUUCUUUGGUUAGCGAUAACCCCUUCAAGUCGUCUGAGAUCUCAUCAAUACUGCCUCCCAUGAAACCUAAUGAUCGAAAUGAUUGAUACAAUGGCGGUAUGGGUUUCUUCAAUGGAUAGUAGUACCCAUUUCUAGGUGGUCGCCAAUCGAGCCAUUCUUCGGUGGUGUACUUAUACCCCAAACCAAAAGUGGUGGAAUGUCGAAGAGGCUGUAUAGGUUCGACUAUCCCUUGUAAUUCAGCCCCCAAACCUUUCCCAAGCUCGAAACCGAACCAGGCCAUCAUAUCUAUGAUUUUUUGGCUGAACCAAGGUUGCAACUCAAUAUUACCAACAAGCUCCACUGUAUGGUACAUUUCUCCAUCCAUAUUCUCUCUUCCUUAAUUGUGUAUACAAGAUGCCCCUUUUCCCCAUGGACUACAACCUCUUCGUAAUCCCAUUCAAACUUCAGGCAUUGGUGCAGAGUAGAUGGAACCGCUCCAGCCAUAUGAAUCCAUGGACGACCCAACAAUAAGUUGUACGAUGAAGGGAUGUCCGAAAUUUGGAAAGCUAUGGGGAAAGUGACAGGACCAAUGAGCAUGUCCAAGGUUAUCUCCCCAAUAGUGCCUCUCUGAGAGCCGUCAAAUGCCCUCACAUUCAUCUUCCAUGUCUGAAUUUUUGCACUAUCCACACCCAGCCUUGUCAGUGUGCUCAGAGGGCAAAUGUUUAAACCUGAACCUGCAUCAACUAAUGCUUUGUUUAUCACCUUAUCUUGAUACUUAACCGAAAUGUACAAAGCUUUAUUGUGAGUUGUUCCUUCGAUUGGCAGCUCAUCUUUGUGAAAAGAUAUUUUGUAAGCCUCAAAGACAUGCCCCACCAUUUGGGAUACCUCUCCAUGAGUGAUGUUAGAUGGGACAUAAGCUUCACCAAGGAUCUUCAGAAAGGCAUCUCGAUGAGUUUCGAAAGAUUGCAGUAACUCUUGAAUUGAUAUUUGGGAAGGGGUUUUACUCAGCUGCUCAAUGACAGAGUAUUCUUUAGCUUUAACCUUUUUCCAAAUACUUUGAUCCUCAAGCUCUACAACUGGUGCUUUAGAUUUGCUAGAGCUUCCCUGAACCAAAUUUUUAGAAGUGUAAAUUCUUCCAGAUCUGGUGACCCCUGUUGCAACAUCUGUCUCUUCCACAUUUGUUUCUCUUUUGUUGUAAUCCCAAGGUACAUCAUGUGUGUCGCAUUGUAUUGGGGAGGAUGCCUUAUAGACAGCGAAUGGUGGUCUGGGUGCAGCAACUUCUACUUCAAAUGGGGCGAGUCCUUGCACUAUUAGUGGUGCUUGGGAAGUGGUAGACAUGGCUUCUCCUGUUUCGACGGCCCAGAUAGAUACUUCCCAAUCCCAGACAUAACCAGCUUCCACCAUUUUGACUUGAUGGUUAGGGAGAGGAUUAUUCGAGACAUUCGGUGUAGGAUUCUUCAGUUGGAUGGUUUCUGUAUCAAUCAACAUUUGAACCUUAGCCUUAAAGGCCCUGCAAACUUCGGUGGUGUGUACCUUCAUCCUAGAAUGGUAGGCGCAGACCUUGUUAGGGUCGUACCAUUUCGCGCGAACAUCCACAGGUAAUGCUGAAAUUGGAGAGACAUACCCAGCCUGUUUCAGUCUCUCAUAAAGUUGUGCUAUGGGUUCAGCCAAAGGGGUAUAGGUUUUUGUAGGUCUUCUUUCAUAGGAAGGUCUGUUUCGGUAAUUUGGUGUUUGAGUGGGUGGUGGAGUUUGGAAGUGUGUUGGUUGAACAUUAUAGACAGGAUAUAAGGCAUGCAAGUAUUGAGGAGGAGCGUUUUGGUAAUAUAUUGGCAUGGGUUGGGGAGAUAUAGCGGGUGGAGCUGAAGGAUGUUGAGGGUAUGGGGAUGGUGGUAGGUUCAUUGUCUUGUGCCUCAAAGGGGUCCUAAUUCCACGAGCCAUCAUUACAGAACCUAUUUUCUUUGGACUCUCUGUCAUUCCACCAGAUUGCAGAGCCUUGUUGGUUGCUUGUAAAGCCUCCAAGUUGAUGAUGGUCCCAUUCUUUAUGCCUUCUUCAAUUCUUUCGCCUAGUUUGAUGAUUUCAGCGAAACUCUUUUCAGCCACCAGCAUCAUUCGGUCAUAGUAUUGUGGUUCUUGGGCACAGAUGAAAUAGUCUUUCAUUUGAGAUUCUUCCAUAGGGGGUCUGGCCCUAGCCGCCUCAGACCUCCAUCUUAUGGCAUAUUCUCUGAAGGAUUCACUCGGUUUCUUCUUUAGGUUCUGAAUGUAAGACCAAUCAGGCGCAUUUUCAAUAUUGAAACCAAACCUAUUCAUGAAGUCAGUUGCCAUAUCAACCCAUUUUAUCCAUUUCUGCGAGUCUUGCUCAAUGUACCAUGAUAGGGCUUCCCCAGUAAGACUCCUCAUGAACAACUUCAUGAGUAUCCUCUCAUCUCUCCCCACCCCUACAAGUUUGUCACAAUACAUUCGUAGGUGGGCUUUGGGAUCUCCAAUGCCAUUGAACGUCUCAAACUUUGGAAGCUUGUAUCCUUCGGGCAGUUCCACAUCAGGAUGCAUGCACAGAUCCUCAUAGCCCAAUCCUCCCAACAUCUUGUUUCCUUCCACGUGUUGUACCCUAUUGGUCAAGUUGUCUAAUCUCUCUGUCAGGGUUUUUAUUAGGAUGUCUUUCUAAUGGGACUCUGAUUCAUGGAGGUCAUGAGUCAGAGGGGCAGUUUCAACGUAUAUGGGAUUGGGAUUGUUGUUCCCAAAAGUAUAUGGGAUAUUUGUGUUUGCGGUUGUUUCUGGGAAGGUUGGUUUGGUAUGUUGGUAAUAGUGGUGAAAUGGAACUUGGGUAUUUUGGGCGUGGGGUGGUGGAAAGGUAUUUAGACGAAUGGGUUCAGAUGGGGAUAUAUGGAUUGGAGGAUUGUUUGGCGUGGCUGUUUGGUUAGGAGGAUUGUCUAUGUUUUCUCCAAAUUGUGUUCCAAGAGAGAUAGACAACUUGGCCAAAUCACGCAUGCGAGCUACCUCUUCUUCCAAUUGGGAAAUCUUACGCUCAAGUCUUAGGACAAGAUCAUUUUGAAGUUGUCCUCCCUCAGAAGCUUCUACCCUUUCAGUGGUGCUGUUGUCGUCAACCAUUUUACCUUUGUCUUUGGAGCUUGCUCUUUGAGAAGAAGGAGAAGGGGGGUCCCUUUUGAUCGUGUAUGUGCCAGGAUGAAGGGCAGAUCAACCUUAGGAAAUGGGAAAACAAUAGAAUCAAAAGAAAAGAGUUAGGGGGUUAAGAUAAUAUCACAAUAUCAACACGUUGUUUUGAAAUAAACGCCCUAAAUGCAUGGAACCUCGUUGAGCCAUAGGUAGGCCUAAGCGACACAUAAGUGAUGCAUAAUAAUUAAUUCAAGCCUUAUUUGCCCAUUUGGAGUUUAGAGUUAGACAAUAAGACAACUUUCGAUUAUUGAAAUAAUUUUUAUUUAUCACAUCAAUCUAAAGAUAACUAAAAGGCUAGGGAUAACAUGUGGGAAAUAAGAAAAAAAAUAAAAAAACUUUAAUUAUGCUGCUCUCCAAUGUUAGGCACAAUCUGCUUCCUCAUUUCUGGGGUUAUGUCAUAAUCGGUGUUGAAAAGGUUGCGAGCCCAUCUUCUCUCUUUUUCUUCGCCAAAACCAGGACGACAUCCUUCACUCAAAUCUCUAUGCUCUGCAUCCUCUAAAAGCCAUACAUAAUAUUCAGGUGUGCAGAAGGGUCGGUGCUCUGGAACAUCGAUAGUUAUCACAUUCUUCCAUCUUCGCAGUAUAGUGUUCACUAGCGGUAAUUCUUACCCAAAGUCAUAUCCAUAGUGGCUCAUGUGGGAUCGCAGAGGUAUCAUUUGGAUCUGUCCGAAUUGUCGAAGGACUCGAAGUGGUGCGUAUGGUUGCACACCAUUCAAAGCGAUAAACUCAAUGAAGUAAAGUUCAUUUCCUCUUAUGAUGGCACGUCGUGGCUUCAACCAAUAAUACUUCCAUUGGAUUUCAACGGCUGAGCGCUCCUUUAGGUAUGUGAACCAGUCCUCUGUUCCCACAGGGGAGAUAAAAUGUUUCAUCCUUAGGGGAUGGUUGAUAAAUUUGUUCCCCAUAGUCCCUCUAACAAUGUCUACUUUAUUAGCUCUUUGGUAGAAAUGUUCAACGGCCAAAAGUUGCAGCAGAAAGUUGCACCCCUCAAAGUAUCUUUUGCCUUUGGUGCAUGCAGUCAAAGCUCUUAGAAUUUCUGCAAGUAUCAUGGGGACCAAGGUUUUCCCACCUAGAGCCAACAUACGAACCACAUAACAUAAGCCGGUGUGGAUCUUUCCUCCUUCUCUAGGAAAAACCAAUGAGCCUAAUAGGGCGACAGCGAAUGCAUUAAGACGAUACCUUUCCCAUUUUGCAGAAGAACAAGCAAAUUCUCUAUGAAAGUUUUGAUGACCUUCCUCAUCCCCAAAGCGUGAAUAUAAGAACUCUAAAGAAAUCCAACCUUCUUUCAGACAAAGUAGAUUUGGAUUAUGACACAUGCCCAUUUGCUUCAGAAAAGAUCUUGGACUUGGCUUGUGUGGAACAAUCAUUUCCAACUCUUUGUAUGCGAGACCCAUGAAUCCUCCAACUUCUUCGAUUGUUGGGGUUAACUCGAAAUCCUUGAAUUUGAAGACUAACCUCUCAGUGUCCCAGAAUUUCAACAAUGCCUUGAUUAAGUGACGAUCUGACUCUACGGAGAUCAAAGCUGUGAGGCCGCCUAACAGUUCAUUUGCUUCUAACUCUCGAUUUUUUGAAUAUCUUUCCACCAAUUCUUCAAUAUGGGAUUGACUUUGACGACCAUUUGCGUGUUGGGAAAGUGAGGGUGAGCCAUGACUCUGCAAACAAAGUAACAAACGACUUCUAAACUCCAUUUUGACAAUGUUGGCUUGAUUUAAUUAUUGUGAUCACGUUGACACAUAAAUAUGCAAUUUGUCUAAGGGUGUUGGGGCCCUUUAGACGAGAGGGUGGCUACUAAUUACAUGGAUUGACACCAAGGGUCAAACCUCCUAGGGCUUAUGCAGCAUGUAUGACUUAAUCAGGACUUCUAAGAGUUGGCUUGACACGGACUUGAAAGGAUUCUAUGUGAGAGGCUCGUGGCUUCGCGGUAGUAAAACUAUCCACUACGUCCACGCAUAUGCCGACUCUCUAUAAUGGGUAUUUGUAUAAGAUUGGAGUAGUUGUGAGAGGUGCUAAGGCACAAAAUCACGAGAACAAAAUAAAAAAAGAGGAAGAGGGUACCAAUUGGGGAAAGUAUGAGCGAGAUGCCAAUUAUCAAAGCAGUAAACAUUUAGCAUUUAAAUUGGAAACAAUAAAUAAAUAAGAAUAAAUAAAGGAAAGUAAACAUAUAAAGAUAUGAAAACUACGCAAAUAAAGAAAGAUGAUACGAGACUAAACAUGUAAACAAAUAAGGGGAAAGGGAAGAGGUGACACAUGAUAAUAAACAAUUAAGGAAAAGGGAAAGGGAGGAACAUGUAGAGGAGACAAUAAAUAAGGCAACAAAAUAAGCUAAACAUGGUAAGCACCUAACAAAUAAUGAAAUGAAUAAAAUAAACCCCACAUAAAUAAGUAAUUAACACGUAAUGGUAAGAACCUAAUAUCCCCAGCGGAGUAGCCAUUUUGUCGCGCCCCAUUUUCGCAGAAAACGGGUUUUGUGCACGACCUAACAACUCUUUUGGGAUUUUGAGUUUGGAGUCGCCACCUAACGAAUUAAGGCGCGUUAGGGCACCUAUCUAACCUAACUAAGUCUAACUAAGGUCAACGAGCCAGACAAUUAGGGUAAGGGUUCAAAUUACCUCGAGGGGAAGGUGUUAGGCAUCCCUCGAGGUCCACAAGUGUGGGUCUCGGCCGUAUCUCAUGCAAUCUAUGUGGGGGUUACAAGUAGCAAUCAAGGUCACUUCAUUAUUAUUCAUUAAUAUGCUUGCUAAGUGAUAACAAGUAUAAAACAAUUAAGGCUAUUUUAUUAAAUUAAACAUGCGAGACUAGAAGACACCAAUAAUAAACAACCAAGUUUAUUUAUAUUUUUUUUAUUUAUUUAACAUACGAGGCUAUGUUAUAGACAAAAUUGGCAAAUAUUAAGAAAUUAAUAUGUGCAAAAGUAAAGUUUUGAAAAUUGAGUAAGUUUUGAAUAUGAAUUUUUAUUUUUGAAAAAAAUGUUUGUUUCUUUAUAGGGAUGAUGCCACGAUAUUGUUGAUCGCGCUCCUCAACCAUAGAAACAAUUUUGAUUUGAGGUCGGUCUAAAAAAUAGUUUAUGUUUUUGAAAAACUGAUUUAAAAGAUUUAGUUCACACGUAGGCACAUAAACAUUUACACAUAAAUGCACAUAAUUCUUUUUGAAAUUCAUGGGUAGGUGGUACUUCCGAGGAUGUGUCGGGUUUAAAAAUUUGAACUAGACCUCAUAAUUCCUUUGACUUUCCCACUAACGAUAGGUUAGGAUAUAGUACUUAUAAUUUACUUUCAAAAUAAACAAUGUCAAAAUCAAUCCAAAGUUUAAAAGGAAGAUUGAAUAAUGACUUUUUAAGAAAAUUAUGUUACAAGGUUUUGAUAUGAAAUAUUUUUAAAGCCAAGUUAAAUGCAUGAAAUGAUUCUAAAAAAAUAUU